CGAAAGCCUGACGGAGCAAUACCGCGUGAGGGAUGAAGGCCUCUGGGCUGUAAACCUCUUUUAUCAAGGAAGAAGAUCUGACGGUACUUGAUGAAUAAGCCACGGCUAAUUCCGUGCCAGCAGCCGCGGUAAUACGGGAGUGGCAAGCGUUAUCCGGAAUUAUUGGGCGUAAAGCGUCCGCAGGCGGCCGAUCAAGUCUGCUGUUAAAGCGUGGAGCUUAACUCCAUAAUGGCAGUGGAAACUGAUUGGCUGGAGUGUGGUAGAGGCAGAGGGAAUUCCCGGUGUAGCGGUGAAAUGCGUAGAUAUCGGGAAGAACACCAGUGGCGAAGGCGCUCAACUGGGCCGUAACUGACACUCAGGGACGAAAGCUAGGGGAGCG
rnacentral:rRNA from 1 species